AGAGUUUGAUCCUGGCUCAGGACGAACGCUUGCGGCGUGCCUAAGAAAUGCAAGUCGAACGGAUGGCUUCGGCCAUUAGUGGCGAACGGUCGCGUAACACGUAAGCAACCUGCCCUAAAGUGGGGGACAACAGUCCGAAAGGAUUGCUAAUACCGCAUGUGGUUCAUUGAUUGCAUGAUCGAUGAUCUAAAGCCUUUUGG
rnacentral:rRNA from 1 species